GUGUAAUGACAUUAUACAAUAAUAUCUGACCUGAAAGGAUUAUUAUGUGGACAAAUAAUAAUGAACAA